rnacentral:rRNA from 1 species
UACGUAGGGUGCGAGCGUUGUCCGGAAUUAUUGGGCGUAAAGAGCUCGUAGGCGGUCUGUCGCGUCGGUCGUGAAAACUUGGGGCUUAACCCUGAGCUUGCGGUCGAUACGGGCAUGACUGGAGUUCGGCAGGGGAGACUGGAAUUCCUGGUGUAGCGGUGAAAUGCGCAGAUAUCAGGAGGAACACCAAUGGCGAAGGCAGCUCGCUGGGACGUGACUGACGCUGAGACGCGAAAGCGUGGGGAGCAAACAGG